rnacentral:rRNA from 1 species
GUGGGGAAUAUUGGACAAUGGGGGGAACCCUGAUCCAGCCAUGCCGCGUGUGUGAAGAAGGCCUUUUGGUUGUAAAGCACUUUAAGCGAGGAGGAGGCUACCGAGAUUAAUACUCUUGGAUAGUGGACGUUACUCGCAGAAUAAGCACCGGCUAACUCUGUGCCAGCAGCCGCGGUAAUACAGAGGGUGCAAGCGUUAAUCGGAUUUACUGGGCGUAAAGCGCGCGUAGGUGGCCAAUUAAGUCAAAUGUGAAAUCCCCGAGCUUAACUUGGGAAUUGCAUUAGAUACUGGUUGGCUAGAGUAUGGGAGAGGAUGGUAGAAUUCCAGGUGUAGCGGUGAAAUGCGUAGAGAUCUGGAGGAAUACCGAUGGCGAAGGCAGCCAUCUGGCCUAAUACUGACACUGAGGUGCGAAAGCAUGGGGAGCAAACAGGAUUAGAAACCCGUGUAGUCC